GAGUUUGAUCAUGGCUCAGGAUGAACGCUAGCGGCAGGCUUAACACAUGCAAGUCGAGGGGCAGCGCGGGGCGGCAACGUCCUGGCGGCGACCGGCGGAGGGGUGCGUAACGCGUGAGCGACAUGCCCGUUGCCCGGGGACAACCGGUGGAAACGCCGACUAAUCCCCGAUGGGACGGAGGCCCUCAUGGGUCUCUGUUGAAAGUUACGGCGGCGACGGAUUGGCUCGCGUCCGAUUAGCUUGUUGGCGGGUAACGCCCACCAAGGCUACGAUCGGUAGGGGUUCUGAGAGGAACGGUCCCCCAAAUGGAACUGAGACACGGUCCAUACUCC
rnacentral:rRNA from 1 species